rnacentral:rRNA from 1 species
CCAUCGAGUCUUUGAACGCAAGUUGCGCCCGAAGCCAUUAGGCCGAGGGCACGUCUGCCUGGGCGUCACGCAUCGCGUCGCCCCCCUCCAGCGCACGGCGCUCGCGAGGGGGGCGGAGAUUGGCCUCCCGUGCGCCUACGUCGCGCGCGGCCGGCCCAAAUGCGAUCCCUCGGCGACGCACGUCACGACCAGUGGUGGUUGAACAACGCUCAACUCUCGUGCUGUCGUGCGCCACCGCGUCGUCCGUUCGGGCAUCACCAACGACCCAAGGGCGCGUGCACCGCGCCUUCGACCGCGACCCCAGGUCAGGCGGGAUCACCCGCUGAGUUUAAGCAUAUCAAUAAGCGGAGGAAAAGAAACUUACGAGGAUUCCCCUAGUAACGGCGAGCGAACCGGGAAUAGCCCA